rnacentral:rRNA from 1 species
GAUGAACGCUGGCGGCGUGCCUAAUACAUGCAAGUCGAGCGAACGGACGAGAAGCUUGCUUCUCUGAUGUUAGCGGCGGACGGGUGAGUAACACGUGGAUAACCUACCUAUAUGACUGGGAUAACUUCGGGAAACCGGAGCUAAUACCGGAUAAUAUUUUGAACCGCAUGGUUCAAAAGUGAAAGACGGUCUUGCUGUCACUUAUAGAUGCAUCGGCGCUGCAUUAGCUAGUUGGUAAGGUAACGGCUUACCAAGGCAACGAUGCAUAGCCGACCUGAUAGAGGGAUCGGCGACACGGGAGGUGAGACACGGUCCAGACGCCUACGGGAGGCAGCAGUAUGGAAUCUGCGGCAGUGGGCGAGAGCCUGGCGGAGCAGGGCGGCGUGAGAGAUGAAGGUCUUGUGAUCGUAAAACUCUGUUAUGAGUGAAGAACAUAUGUGGAAGUAGCUGUACACAGCUUGACGGUAACUAAUCAGAAAGCAACGGCUAACUACGUG